GGCCACUGGAAACCACAGCACGGUCUACUGAGAAAAUUUCACUGUGCUGAACACUCUCAAGGAGAAAUGAUUUAAAGGAAGCCUAUCCAUCACCAAAAGGUACUGAAAGGAUGAAUGUGGAUCUGCGUGGCAAUACACCAAUAUUUGGCUAAAGUUCCAACCGUGUGGCUGCAGCUGAGGUAGGCUGGUGGUCCCUGCCCAGGGUUGGGCAAGUGAGGAAGCGGAAGAGGAGAAGGUGGCCUCUGAACUUGGCGUGGGCGCUGCCAGAUGAUGCUGGGAACCAGGCCAAGGUACAAACUGAAAGGGAAACGGAAGCCGAAAAUGAAGGAAGAGUGAAUUUUAAAAACUGAAAUAUGAUAAAGGAACAUAAAUAUGACACCGUAGAUAACAACCACUGCCUUCUGGAAGAUGGAGAAAGAUUUUCAGAAGAAACGAACGUAAAAAGAUG